GCCCUAUCAAUAUUGCCUCUGCUUUUAUGAUCAGAGAAGCAGUGCAAUAUUGCUUAUAGGGUCU
rnacentral:pre_miRNA from 1 species